UACGGGGGGUGCACACGUUGCUCGGAAUCAUUGGGCGUAAAGCGCACGUAGGCGGUCCAGUAAGUCGGGUGUGAAAGCCCUCGGCUCAACCGAGGAAGUGCAUUCGAAACUGCUGAACUUGAGUAUGGAAGAGGGUCGCGGAAUUCCCGGUGUAGAGGUGAAAUUCGUAGAUAUCGGGAGGAACACCAGUGGCGAAGGCGGCGACCUGGGCCAAUACUGACGCUGAGGUGCGAAAGCGUGGGGAGCAAACAGG
rnacentral:rRNA from 1 species